GGAAGAGAUCUUCUCGGCGUUGGAUGCGACGAUGUACCGCCCAGAGUCGGCGUGGAUCAGCGAGGCCUCCGCCCGCGAGAACGCGGCCCUCACCCGGGCCCUCCAGAUCUCCCUCUCCGACACCACCACCACCACCUCCUCCUCCGCCUCCGCCGACACUCUCUCCUCCCCUCUCCUCCUCUUCAACCAACAGUUCAUUCCCCCCUCUUCCUCCUCCUCCUCCUCCUCCUCCGCCGCCGCCGCCGCAGACGCAAUCCUCCACCGGCGGGGCGCCCUCGGCCCCGCCCCCGCGGGGCGGGUCUCGAAGCGGAAGUCGCGCGCAUCGAAGCGGUCUACCACCACGUACAUCGACGCCGACCCCGCCAACUUCCGGGAGUUGGUGCAGCGGGU
rnacentral:lncRNA from 1 species